UCUUAGGUUUUCCAGAGCGAAAUUACGUGUGUGUCCCUCUCUUGUUUGUGGCCCAUUUUGGUAGACGCGUGUGGGAAAGCAAGAAAGGUGGAAAAGCAGAGCUCUUCCAUCUGCUUCCACAGAUUUCUCGAGCUCUGUCUAAAACCCGGAACCCUAGCCUCCGCAAGCGAAUCAUGUUCAUCUCUCGCUCUCUCACAUAUUCUUUUUCAAUUUGGGACGUGCUGUCUUCUCCUUUUCCAUCUCCAUCUCUGCGCAACUUGCCAAAUCUCUCCUGGGAACCAUCCACCCUGUCGUUUUUUUAUCCGCAUCAGUGGCUUCUUUUUGGUUAGCAAAUGGAACACUAUCCAAGGAUUCUGGUAGUAUUCACCCUAGCCCACAGAGUAAAUGAAGGUACAAGUCGUCAGGCGCCUUGAAGCAAGUCAGGUAUAUAAUUUCAAGUUUUCCUUUUGGUUUUCUAUUGAUGAGAGUUUUGAUUUUUUGUGUGCUGUGAAGGUUAAAUGUGUUGGAAACUAAAAUUACAAAUUUUGUUUUGUUUGGAUUUCAGGCAAGUAUUGAUUUGAUUUCUGUUGUAUUGGUUGAAGCUUUGUUAACAGUACUAGGGUUGUUAAAUUUGUGCACCAUAUAUAUUCACCAAAUUAUGUCUCAAUGUUGUUUCUGUUACUCGGUCAUGGGGUUUCUUACGGUAGACUGUUAUCAAGUUCGAAUUUUCUAAUUUUCUUUCUGCAAAUGAUUUUUUAAUUAUUUUUUGUUUUAGGAACUGCAUUGUAUAAUUUUAAGUGAUUGAAAAUUGGAUUUGGUGAUUCAAUUAUAUAUCUAACAAAUCUAAUACCAUUUAAAAUCAGCACAUGCAUAUUCAUGUUUGAAUGUUUGAUUUUACUUGAAUUAGAGUCUCCAACUAGGAGAAAGAGAAGGAUCCGCAUGGGAGCAAGGCAGAACAUGGAGCAAACGAGCGCAUGAGAAUUUUAUGUUCAGAUAAUUUGCGAAGAGGGUGGCCAAUCAUUUGAAAAAAAAACUCAGGAAAGAAACGUUGCUAACGGUGUACCUGUGACGAUGCAACGUUAACAUGCUUUUUGCCUUCGGUUAUUUGGUAAAAGAACUUACUUUAAUCGCCAUGCCUGACAUUCGUGUCCUUAUUUUGUGUGUGUGUGUGUGUGUGUUUGGUCAGAAGAAGCUUUUGUGUUUUUGGAUGGUUGUACUUUGUAUGCAAGUGAGAUUUUGGAUUUACUCAAACUAAGUAUUGAGUUAGGUGAGUUUUACGAUUUUCUAACAUAUAACAUAUGUUUAAGAUAGAAAAAAAUUCGUGCAGGGUUUUGCUGGUUGGUGAAAAAAAAUAUAAUUUUGGAGAUGUUAGCUGGUGCUUGCAGUGCGGUUUAAUUCAGAAGAGAUCUGAGGGUUGAAGAUAACGUACCUUCGGCAGCUAUUGUGAAAGCAUGUGGUAUGCCUCCGUUAACAAAAAGUCACAAUCUGUUUAGAUGCGGGGUUUCAAACCAACCGUGGUUUGGAAAAAAAAUGUCAAUCUUUAUUUUUCAUAGGGCUUUAUCAAUCUUUAUAAAUAGUGUGUUUCAAAACUAAUAAAAAAAGUCGAAAUGUUUGUUAGUACUGUAUGUGAUUUAUAAUAUUUGUCUCUGUUGUAUGUUUUUCUUUCUUUUUUGUUCAGUGAAAAAUGAUAUAGCCUUAGUUUAUAUAUGCUUCAUGUGUAGCCAUGUUGGGGUUUCUUUGGUUAAUUUUAGGUUUUUCACAUUAAAUGUAAAGCUAAAACUUUGUGAUUUCUUGAAAUAGAUGAGAGCAUAUUUUGCACUGCACAUUCUCACUAAACCAGUUUAUACAAGUUGCAGAGGGCUAUUGUUAAAAUACAAAAAGAAAGUUGAGUCAUGAUAUCAAGUGGUAUGAAAUUAAAAUAUUAAUAUCUUUGUUAGUAUUUUCUGGUGUUAUUACAACAGUAUUGAUAUCAUCUGGCAGUUUUCUUUGUUUCAAUUUCUUUUUUGUGGUUUGGAUUUACAAAUGGUUUUUCUGUUCAGAUUUUCUAUUUGUGAUUUUGGGGUUUGAUUUAUAGCCUCCGAUUGUGUAUUCGGGUGUUUACUUUUGUUUUGUUUUUAGUUUCAAGAGACUCUUAUUGCUUUUGGGGGCUUUUGUUUGCAGUUUUGGAACCUCUCACUGCUCAGGCCCUAUGAUAGCACUGGUGAGCUUCCCUUUCAAAAAAAAUUUCUCUUCGGUAAAUAGGAUUUAUGAAAUGUUUAAUCUGGGUUUGGGGUUGCUUUUUUCUCAUGAUAAAAAUUGGUGUGUGCCAUCCGGAACAGUUAUUGGGCAUUUUGAGGUUUUUUGUAAUGUGAUAUCGUGUUAGGGUUUUUGAAAGUUGGGUUAUUUCGGAAUUAAUGAUUUUAUGCGUCAUUAAAUUGGUAAAGGAUGCUUUCAAAUCAAUUUUUUUUCACGGUUCAGACGAUUGAUUAGUUGAUAGAAAGCGAGGUUUUCAUUCUAUUUGUAAAAUUUAGUCAAAAGCUUUUUUUAACAACUAUCGUAUAAUUUGAUUUCAAUCCAUAAUUUUGUUAAAUUUAAGCUUGAAUCUGUUAGUAAAUCACUAUACUUUGUGUCCAAAAACCAAAUACAUAUAUAAUUCUGUAUGUAUAGUUUUUGUAAUGUUGUUAAGCAUUUUCAGUGUGUUCUUUUUGUGCGUAGAGGGUGAAAAGCAUCCUGUUCACAGGGGACAUCUUCUACUUCAUAUGGGAAGAAGAGGUUAGUUCGACUGUGAUUGCUUUUCUGAUUUGGUUAAAUUCGAAGUUAGUUGGCUUUAGUCUAAUUUAGUCAUUUGCGUUGUUUGCACAUGUAGUUGUUUUGUAACAUAGUUGAUUUGGGUU